GAAGUACUUUUUUAGUGUUGCUGACGAGACGCUGAACAUGUGAUGAGUUUGAACAUCAACUGCCACCGAACAGUAAAAAAACAACAGGCUAACACGGUCAAGAGACACAGACUAUCCGGGUUGAUAUUCAGCAUAGUACUGGUGCCAGUGGUAACUACUCACCCUCGACAUGGAUGACCCCCACAAGGUCUACCGCUGGUUUUUCCCUUUCUUCCUGGUCUCCUAUCUUCCCCUGCUCUGGCGUAAUAGAAUGUCCUUCACUCUCAGGAUGGACCCCACCUCCAGGGCGAGAGAUGACCCACUGAACCUACCAGGACAAUGAUAGACUCACCUUCAACCUGCCAGCUGUGUGUGUGUGUGUGUGUGUACUGUACGUCACAGAGCUGUGCUUAACUUGCUUGAAAGUAACUGCUAAAUGGACGUUAUAUCCUUUAAAUGACACACAAUUACAAUAGACACAAGUUAUUGUCCCCCAUGUAAACCAACCAGUGACGCCAAGAGCUUUUAUUUUUACCUAGAAAUUACAUUCCACUGUAUGUGUAGGCCGUCAUUGUUCUUAACCGACUUGCAUAGUUAAAUAAAGGUUAAAUAAAAAUCAAAAAUACAAAUUAAUAAAGUAAAAUCAACUUGCAGUAAUUAAAAUUUGCCAGUAGAGGGAGGCAGACACUCUUGCAAGAUUAGAUCCUUGACUGUCAUUGUCCACUUCCUCCUUUCAUAUUGGUCUAAUGGUAUUAUUUCCAGAACCUGUUCAGCACUUUGAACAUGUCUGGUCAGGGUUUCCUUACAAUGGAGUGGGCGGCAGGUAGCCUAGCAGUUAAGCGAGAUGGGCCAGUAACCAAAAGGUCUCUGGUUUGAAUCUCCAAACUGACUAGGUGAUUUUUUUGUUGUUGUCGAUGUGUAAGCACUUAAUCCUAAUUGCUUCUGUAAGUCUCGCUGGAUAAGCGGGUGAUGUAAAUAAGUGUAUGCGUCCCUAUUCUUCUCUUCUGCCGUUCUAUUCAAACUGAUCCCGGUAAUCGUUCUGUAUGAGAUGCUCGUUUGCAUAAUCUGAAUCAGGCAAGAGCUACAGCUGCUUCUCAUUGGCCAUUUAACAGCGACGAGCAGUCUCUCAGAAGCAUAACCACUACUCUGACAUCACCACACUGAGCAGGUACAGUGCCGUCAGAAAGAAUUCGCACCCCUUAUCUACAUUUUGUUGUUACAGCCUGAAUUUGAAAUGGAUUACAUUGAGAUGUUGUGUCACUGAUCCACACACAAUAACCCAUUAUGUCAAAGUGCAAUUAUGUUUUUAGAAAUGAUCAACAACCAAUUUGACAGCUUGGAAGACUUUUUGAAAGAAUAAAUGGGCAAAUAUUGUACAAUCCAGGUGUGCAACGCUCUUAGGCCCCAAUUCUGACCCGAGGUAAGAGCGUGUGAAGGGAACGUAGGAUUAGAAGAGCAUGCUAUUCACCCACUAUUCGUUUUGGGUGGAGAUGGAAUAAAUGAAGGUGUGGCAGAGGUGUGUCUACAGAUACACAGUAUUCUGACCUUGACUUCAUUCCCUCAUAAUUCCACCACCUUUACACGUGAGGAAACCAUGAGUAAAGUCCAGCGAAUCUGCCGGUUCCAAGAGGAAAAAGCAGCAUCUUUUUUUCCCCCUGAUGGAAAUAACAGAAUUCUCCGUGCACAGUGAUUUAUAAAUUAGUAAGUGAUAUUGAUAAGAGCUAGGUAAAUUAGUAAUCUGUUUGUAGAAGGGGAUUGUAAAUACAAAUAGUAUUUGUUUUAGAUGAUUUUUCCUUAUGAUCCCUGGGGAUUAAUGUGAAACUAGCCAUACAAACUGAAAGUCAUAUCAACAUGACAUGUAUUGCGGCCCCUUUUCCACAGUCAAAUUGUAAAUAAACAGUUUUGCCGUUAUUCUGAAUUUGAAUUGCACGGAUGAAAUGUGGAGACUAAUGCUAUAGACAUCAGUAGGGCUGAUGAGUUGAUCUGUGCACUUUGUCUCGAUUAUGUGCCCGGGCUUUUCUCCAUUUUAUUUGACAGUUUGUAACAUGUUAAAUAUUAGCCACUAUCGGGAGCCACCGUCAGUAAUACCCACAUACAUGUAUUUUUGCAUCAUUCCAUUCCGUUUAGCUCUCUUCCCUCUGUCACAUCCAUGUAGUUGUUCCUGAGGGUCGCUGGCAU